GACGUAGGGGGCGAGCGUUGUCCGGAUUUAUUGGGCGUAAAGCGUGCGUAGGCGGCUGCGCAAGUCGGGUGUGAAACCCCGGGGCUCAACCCCGGAACUGCAUCCGAUACUGCGUGGCUAGAGGUAGGUAGGGGAGAUCGGAAUUCCUGGUGUAGCGGUGAAAUGCGCAGAUAUCAGGAGGAACACCGGCGGCGAAGGCGGAUCUCUGGGCCUUACCUGACGCUCAGGCACGAAAGCGUGGGGAGCAAACAGG
rnacentral:rRNA from 1 species